CCCACGCCGAAAGACCAAGGUUUCCUGCGCAACGUUAAUCGACGCAGGGUUAGUCGGUCCCUAAGGCGAGGCUGAAAAGCGUAGUCGAUGGAAAACAGGUUAAUAUUCCUGUACUUCUGGUUAUUGCGAUGGAGGGACGGAGAAGGCUAGGCCAGCUUGGCGUUGGUUGUCCAAGUUUAAGGUGGUAGGCUGGAAUCUUAGGUAAAUCCGGGAUUCCAAGGCCGAGAGCUGAUGACGAGUUACCCUUUGGGUGACGAAGUGGUUGAUGCCAUGCUUCCAAGAAAAGCUUCUAAGCUUCAGGUAACCAGGAACCGUACCCCAAACCGACACAGGUGGUUGGGUAGAGAAUACCAAGGCGCUUGAGAGAACUCGGGUGAAGGAACUAGGCAAAAUGGCACCGUAACUUCGGGAGAAGGUGCGCCGGUGAGGGUGAAGCACUUGCUGCGUAAGCCCACGCCGGUCGAAGAUACCAGGCCGCUGCGACUGUUUAUUAAAAACACAGCACUCUGCAAACACGAAAGUGGACGUAUAGGGUGUGACGCCUGCCCGGUGCCGGAAGGUUAAUUGAUGGGGUUAGCUAACGCGAAGCUCUUGAUCGAAGCCCCGGUAAACGGCGGCCGUAACUAUAACGGUCCUAAGGUAGCGAAAUUCCUUGUCGGGUAAGUUCCGACCUGCACGAAUGGCGUAACGAUGGCGGCGCUGUCUCCACCCGAGACUCAGUGAAAUUGAAAUCGCUGUGAAGAUGCAGUGUAUCCGCGGCUAGACGGAAAGACCCCGUGAACCUUUACUAUAGCUUUGCACUGGACUUUGAAUUUGCUUGUGUAGGAUAGGUGGGAGGCUUUGAAGCGUGGACGCCAGUUCGCGUGGAGCCAUCCUUGAAAUACCACCCUGGCAACUUUGAGGUUCUAACUCAGGUCCGUUAUCCGGAUCGAGGACAGUGUAUGGUGGGUAGUUUGACUGGGGCGGUCUCCUCCUAAAGAGUAACGGAGGAGUACGAAGGUGCGCUCAGACCGGUCGGAAAUCGGUCGUAGAGUAUAAAGGCAAAAGCGCGCUUGACUGCGAGACAGACACGUCGAGCAGGUACGAAAGUAGGUCUUAGUGAUCCGGUGGUUCUGUAUGGAAGGGCCAUCGCUCAACGGAUAAAAGGUACUCCGGGGAUAACAGGCUGAUACCGCCCAAGAGUUCAUAUCGACGGCGGUGUUUGGC
rnacentral:rRNA from 1 species